UGAGGAAUAUUGGUCAAUGGGCGAGAGCCUGAACCAGCCAAGUAGCGUGCGGGAUGAAGGCCCUUGUGGUCGUAAACCGCUUUUAUCAGUGAAUAAAGUGCACCACGUGUGGUGUCAUUGCAGGUAGCUGAAGAAAAAGGACCGGCUAAUUCCGUGCCAGCAGCCGCGGUAAUACGGAAGGUCUGGGCGUUAUCCGGAAUUAUUGGGUUUAAAGGGAGCGCAGGCGGGAGUAUAAGUCAGCUGUUAAAUAUCAGAGCCCAACUCUGUUAUGCAGUUGAAACUAUAUUUCUUGAGUACGCACAGGGAUGGCGGAAUUCAGGGUGUAGCGGUGAAAUGCUUAGAUAUCCUGAAGAACUCCGAUCGCGAAGGCAGCCAUCCGGAGCGUAACUGACGCUGAGGCUCGAAGGUGCGGGUAUCGAACAGGAUUAGAUACCCUGGUAGUCCGCACGGUAAACGAUGAAUACUCGCAGUUCGGUCUUUAUGAUCGAGUUGUCCAGCGAAAGCGUUAAGUAUUCCACCUGGGGAGUACGCCGGCAACGGUG
rnacentral:rRNA from 1 species